GACGAACGCUGGCGGCGUGCUUAACACAUGCAAGUCGAGCGGUAAGGCCCUUUCGGGGGUACACGAGCGGCGAACGGGUGAGUAACACGUGGGUGACCUGCCCUCAGCUCUGGGAUAAGCCUGGGAAACCGGGUCUAAUACUGGAUAUGACUCCAUGACGCAUGUUGUGGGGUGGAAAGCCUUGUGCGGCUGAGGAUGGGCCCGCGGCCUAUCAGCUUGUUGGUGGGGUGAGGCCUACCAAGGCGACGACGGGUAGCCGGCCUGAGAGGGCGACCGGCCACACUGGGACUGAGACACGGCCCAGACUCCUACGGGAGGCAGCAGUGGGGAAUCUUGCGCAAUGGGCAAAAGCCUGACGCAGCGACGCCGCGUGAGGGAUGACGGCCU
rnacentral:rRNA from 1 species